UUCGUACUUUCCACAAAGCGUCGGCACCCGAUGGGCACGACGCAUCGCGUCGCGGAUGAUGAGUGCACGUCGCCGCGUCAAGCAUCGCUUCUUCGCCCCGAGCUCCUCAAGUACAGACUCCAGAAUCUGCAACAGUUCUGCAAAGCGUAGAUAGGAUCGUCGUCAGCACGCUCGGGCCCGCCUCCACCAAUAAUUGGGCAGGAGCGGUAUGAUCGCCACGGUCGCUCUUGCGGAACGAGAAGGAAGACGGGGCACCGCGGCAUGGGCGAUGGAUCCGAACGCGAGCAGCUACAAGCGCGAGAGGGACAAGGGAAGGACAGCCCAUGUGUGAGGGAGGGAGGAAGAGGGUUCAGCCACUGAGGUGAUGUUGAGUGUACUUGAGCCGGUGCGUGCACGGUCCGCGUGGAGUCGCAGGAGAUGGCCGUGCAUGCGCCGGCGGGGCCCUGGUCUGGGUAUGGAUGCCGGGGGCGGAGUGGGCGCCAGCGGCGUGCCCUGGCCUCACGGGCACAGCACAGCUGCACAGGAGACCUCGGGGAUGUAUGCGCGCGCGCGUGAGGAGGAGUGCGUGGUGUGGUUGGGCCUGAUGGAUAGAUAGGUGGGCCGGCCCGGAUGGCAAGAGCGAGGCCGGCCGCUGCGUUGCUUGCCCAACUGUCACCUCCGUGACUCGCGUGCGGCGCUGCCGUUGCACGCACUCGCGGACGCCGCGCACGCUCACGAGAUGCAGCGGAAGACGAAGCAUUGGAGCGGCGGCGGGGCAGCCCCGCGAUCGGGAACGGCGGAAGCUGUCCGUCGCUCACGGUGGCGCAACGCACCGACGUUGAGGGCCGGCCUCGACCUACCUGCACUGCCCAGACGCACGAGGCCACGAGCAGGACAAAAGGCCGUCGUGACGAGCGUUUCCGAGAACACGCCACCGUUCAUCCAUGGCGGCAGCGGGCUCCUUCCACUCUCUUCGACGGCGGCGGUACGAAGAACUACGACAUCCUGAGCAGGGAGUGGUACCCACCGGCGCCUUUGAAGUGUAGAAGACGGUGGAGGUCAAAGGAUCAAGGUCAACAAGGUGGAAGAAGAUGAAGGGAAAACUAUUUGGUUGAAAUAUAACAAGUGUGCUUACUUGUGUAGUUGUAAGGGUCUGAGCAUCUGAGGCUAUAGUUUCUACCAGAUGUCACGUUAACUCUUGGCUCUGGAAUUUUAGUCUGAAGCUUUAUUUGCUCUUAGUUCUUGCGUUGGGAUUCUUUUUUGCAAAUGAGAAGGACCUGUGCAUUUUAGUCUGAAGCUUUAUUUGCUCUUAGUUCUUGCUUUGGUGUUCUUGUUUGCAAAUGAGAAGGACAAGUACUUCAACUGCAUUGCCAAAGUAUCGCCAAUGCAUUAUGAUGUAUAUGAUCUCCAUUGGCUCACCUCUUCUUGCCGUUUUGCCUAGGUUCUUCAAUCGGACGGAGAGUUAUGCCAAUUUCCAAAAACUACAGGCACAUACCAGCCCACCACCAGCGGCUCCAGGUUAAACAGGAAGAAAAAAAAGACACGCUACAUUCUUCCACUUGCACAGGUCUAUCUAAUUUUUGAGCUGAUUUACCUCUUCACGCCGGUUUUCCGAGAUCCUGAGCAGCUGCUCUUCGAGUCCCCUUCCAAGGCGCCGCCACCAUGCCUGUUGCUCCCUUGUGAUCUGCCCGAUUCCACGCCGCUGCUAGCUCCAAUUUCGUCGGUGGGGAAAGCAAAUGGCCCGUGAUCCAACUGGUUCAAAGUGGCUGCAUUCUUUACUCUUUAUUUUUAAAAUUAUUGGGAU